AGAGAGAUAGGCAGGCGACAACAACACUCACACCACCGCUCCAGCGGUGACGAUAUCAGGCGGAAACGGUGGCAGCGACGACCACUAGGCCCUAGAACGAUUGCUGACUUCCGCCGAAGUGUACGCUACGUUCUCCACCAGACCACAACCACCAUUUUUGCUUCAUCAGUGUUUUCCUCUGUCACAACACCACCCUACAAUGACCACAUUCUUCCACUUUCCAUUGUCACGAAAUCGAUCCCCGGAGAGUUGAUGUUUCAUGAGCCGAUCAGCCCUAAUAACCCACAGAACACAGAUCGAGUGCAAGACUGAAUUGAUGGCAGCCGAGAAGUUGUGUCUCAUACACAAACCCUAACUCAGAUCAACCAUGGAGAACAAGGAUCUUGGAAGUGAUAACAGUUUGAUCGGUCAAUUUGGUGUUGGGUUCUGUUCGGUUUUUUUGGUUGCUGAAAAGGUGACUGUCUACAAAGAGUCCCAAAUCAGACAAAAUUUGAGAAGCAUCAACUGAUACUAGCUCAUACGUAAUUAAAGAAGAAACUGACCCCGAAAAGCACCUUUACUUGAAGUUGAUUUUGUUAUCUGUGCUAAAGCCCAAGGCCAAGGGAAGGUUGCUAGAGAGACAAAGACAGCCUGGGCCUUUGGACUAAUGCCGUUCACAUCAGUGGGAACCCCACAUUUUGUUUAUGGCAUAACAAUGCAAGAUAUUUAAAAAGAUUGUGAGUCUGAACUUCAUGAUCACAACUUUUUUGAUGACGUGUUUGCAGCCUUAUAAUCAUCAGCAACCAGUUUCUUUCUAAGCUCACGAAGGGCAUUUUGAAGAUUUAGGUGGAAGAGUUAUGCAAAUGGGAUGGUGCACUUUUGAAGUUGUUGCAAAGUAUUAACGCCAAUCUUUUGUACUACUAUUGUAUCUACCUUGCUUGAUGCAACACAAAAAAACUCUUUAUGUAACUAACAUUAGGCAUCAUGGAUGUGUGUAUGUAAAAGGGUGGUGUUGAUUGUGCUGGGUUAUUUCUUUGAUGCCCCUUGCUUUGUUUAGUUAUGUUAAGCUUUAUUGUUGCUGUAAAUUAACGUAACAUUGCCUUUUUGAAUGUUGUUAAGCCGUUUUUUUUUGGUUGCGCUGAGAUUUUGUAUCUCUACUUGCUUUUUAUUGGCCUCAGAGGUACUUGAACAUCAUAG
rnacentral:lncRNA from 1 species